UAGGGAAUAUUGCACAAUGGGCGAAAGCCUGAUGCAGCGAUGCCGCGUGAGUGAUGAAGGCCUUCGGGUCGUAAAGCUCUUUUAUAAGGGAAGAACAGCCGGAGCAGGAAAUGGCUCUGGUUUGACGGUACCUUAGGAAUAAGGAACGGCUAACUCCGUGCCAGCAGCCGCGGUAAUACGGAGGUUCCUAGCGUUGUUCGGAAUUACUGGGCGUAAAGGGGGCGCAGGCGGUCUUGUAAGUCUAAAGUAGAAGCCCGGGGCUCAACCUCGGAAAGCCUUUGGAUACUGCAGGACUAGAGUUCGCGAGAGGAAAGCGGAAUUCAGGGUGUAGCGGUGAAAUGCUUAGAUAUCCUGAGGAACACCAGUGGCGAAAGCGGCUUUCUGGCGCGAAACUGACGCUGAGGCCCGAAAGCGUGGGUAGCAAACGG
rnacentral:rRNA from 1 species